GGAGAGGUGGCCGAGUGGUCGAAGGCGCACGCCUGGAAAGUGUGUAUACGGCAACGUAUCAUGGGUUCGAAUCCCAUCCCCUCCGCCA
rnacentral:tRNA from 1 species